GGCUUCACUCCAACCCCUGUGACAUACCUAUACGUUGCCUCGGCGGAUCAGCCCGCGCCCCGUAAAAAGGGACGGCCCGCCCGAGGACCCCUAAACUCUGUUUUUAGUGGAACUUCUGAGUAAAACAAACAAAUAAAUCAAAACUUUCAACAACGGAUCUCUUGGUUCUGGCAUCGAUGAAGAACGCAGCAAAAUGCGAUAAGUAAUGUGAAUUGCAGAAUUCAGUGAAUCAUCGAAUCUUUGAACGCACAUUGCGCCCGCCAGUAUUCUGGCGGGCAUGCCUGUUCGAGCGUCAUUUCAACCCUCAAGCUCAGCUUGGUGUUGGGACUCGCGGUAACCCGCGUUCCCCAAAUCGAUUGGCGGUCACGUCGAGCUUCCAUAGCGUAGUAAUCAUACACCUCGUUACUGGUAAUCGUCGCGGCCACGCCGUAAAACCCCAACUUCUGAAUGUUGACCUCGGAUCAGGUAGGAAUACCCGCUGAACUUAAGCAUAUCAAUAAGCGGAGGAA
rnacentral:rRNA from 1 species